AUUGAACGCUGGCGGCAGGCCUAACACAUGCAAGUCGAACGGUAACAGGGAUCAGCUUGCUGAUUCGCUGACGAGUGGCGGACGGGUGUGUAAUGUCUGGGAAACUGCCUGAUGGAGGGGGAUAACUACUGGAAACGGUAGCUAAUACCGCAUAACGUCGCAAGACCAAAGAGGGGGACCUUCGGGCCUCUUGCCAUCGGAUGUGCCCAGAUGGGAUUAGCUAGUAGGUGGGGUAACGGCUCACCUAGGCGACGAUCCCUAGCUGGUCUGAGAGGAUGACCAGCCACACUGGAACUGAGACACGGUCCAGACUCCUACGGGAGGCAGCAGUGGGGAAUAUUGCACAAUGGGCGCAAGCCUGAUGCAGCCAUGCCGCGUGUAUGAAGAAGGCCUUCGGGUUGUAAAGUACUUUCAGCGGGGAGGAAGGGAGUAAAGUUAAUACCUUUGCUCAUUGACGUUACCCGCAGAAGAAGCACCGGCUAACUCCGUG
rnacentral:rRNA from 1 species